GUCGAUGUAGCUCAGUCGGUAGAGCGAGAGGCUGUUAACCUCGCGGUCGCGGGUACGUGCUCCGUCGUUGGCU